CUGCGAGAAACGAAUGUAUCCGGCCGUGCUCCCGAAACUUUUGAGGAAUUCCAACAUUUUUAAGCGAUUCAUCGAGUGGAUGACUGCGUGCUGCAGCUGUGCUUUUCAUCUCCUGCGUGCGUACAAAACUGGAAUGCUGGAGGACUUCAGCUCAAGAAUGUCAUGCUGGACCACUACCAGAGCGUGCUUAAAGGAAUCAAUGCCUUGA